GCCGGAGAUUGCUUGCCUGCCACUCCUCCUGCCCAAACCCUUUCCCUUUUGUGUCGUGUCCUUCAGAUGAGCAUGCAUCCAGAGAGGAACAUAGAGGCGAACCAGAUGAGUGAUGUAGUGCAGGUGACCACGGCUCCCAAAUGGACCACGGUUGGUAACUUUGGAAUCAUUCCUGAAUCAUAUUCAAGGGCAGCUGCAUGGCAAGCACACUGCAGCAGUCUAGUCUUUAAGUCGUUUUGGUAGAUAAAUGAACGUAGACAUUAAAAAAAUGCUAAUCGAGACAAACGUGGCAGGAAUUAAAAUUCAUUUCCAUUUGAUAUUUCCCCCUUCCUGCUGCUCUUAAUUAUAACUCUCUGUCCCGCGCAGGUUAAGGCGGCCGGAUGGUUCAGGAGCCGGUAACCAGCUGACUGCCAUCUCCUCCGAUUUGCUGGCCCUCUGUCUUUCAGAUGGAUCAAUCCUCUGCCAAUGCAUAACAUUUUCAUUUCCCUCUUUUGUUCGGCUCCCUUUAUUUUGCCGCAAUUAUAAUUACCCCCCUCCCUGCACCACGCCGUUUGAAAGGGGUUUAGGAACAAUUUCGUGCAAUACACAUAAUUGGCAAUUGAGCUUACCCCUUUUGGUCUCUUUUCAUGAGAAAAAAAUGACACUUAAAAUAAAAAAAAC
rnacentral:lncRNA from 11 species